rnacentral:lncRNA from 1 species
GAGGCAGUCCAGCCGCAGGGGCCACCCGAACAGUCUCUCCUCCUCACAGAAGCCUGGAGCUGGGCAUCCAAGAAGAAGCAGCCUCAUUUGUUUUCUGGUGUCAUCGUAGGUGGCCACCUAUGGCUUUUGGGCUUCUCACCUGGGGCGGGUGGGUUCUGCACCACCCUCCCACCCUCCUUCCUCCGUGUGGACGAUAGAGCCACAUCCAGCACCACGGACAGCUCCCGGGCGAUCCCAUGGGAGUAGAAGAGGUGUGAGCAGGUUGCCCAGCUGGUUAGCGGAAAUGCCAAGAUCCAGGCUCCUGAAUUUCAGCCUGGCCCUUUCUAUCUGUCUGAUACCUCCUUUACGAGUCUCUCUGCCUGCGUUGUGUGGAGCGGGCCUGCUGCUGGUUGGGGGAGUUUGCAGGUUGCCCCUAUGCAAAAAAGGACAGGAUGCAUGACUGGCAUGUAAGGUGUUCAGGAAAACCAGGAAAAGGUGGAACAGACUGCUACCUCUGUCUGAAGUGGUUUGGAGGGAAGGCCUCAGGGACAGGGCAUACCUAGCAGUAGCUGGCAAGCCCAUGGGAGAAAAGGCAAGGGGGCAACCAUCUGCCAGGGCACAGAGGCCAGGGGAUGGCCACAAGGAGUCUCCAGAGGCCAGUGGGAGUCAUGCAAACUGGAACGGGGCCUGGGAAAGGCCCUUCUGUGUGCCCAGGCCUGCCUCCCCAACACCGUGAGCCUAGAAACAAAGGGGCCAUUCUCUCUAGGAUUUGAUGCUGCCAUCUCCGGCUGGCAGUGCCAGGUGGUGGGGGCAUCGGGGGUGUCAAUCCAUUAUCCCCCCCAACUCCUAGGUCCUCUGAGGCUGGAUGUUGGGGAGGUGGGUGUUCUAUGCUAUGUUGCUAUGGCAACCGCCCCCCCACCCCCAAAGUACAAAGAGAGGCAGCUUUCACCCCUACCCCCAGGAAGAACCUGGGUCUGGCUGGGAAUCUUCCCUUGAGAAUCCUCCUUUCUGAUGCACAAGCCAUGGCAUGCAUAAGCGUCACCCUCUUUUCAGCACUGGAAGCUGAGGGUUUUGACAGCGGCAGGCCACAUAGGCAAGGAAGCUGGUGCAUGCAGUGUCUCUGGGCAAGGUUAUGCAAACCAAAAAGAAGAAUGUACUUCAUCUGGUUGGGCUGGAUUCCCUCUGAUAAGCCUUCCCAGUUGACUGAAAGAUGAGGCUAGGCUCUAGCAAGUUGAAGUCAAACCAGCUCCUUCAAGAAGCUUUGAGCAGAAUGAAGUGGGGAGGACCCAGCUUCCAGCCCAGGAAGCCCACUGUACCUGGAGCCAUCUGGGAUAAGACUUUGACCCAUGACUCCCAUAUCCACAGCCUGUCCAUCCUAGCCCAUCCCAGUUUAUCCUGUAUCAUUUGAGCUGGGAUUCCCACAUCCUCUGAGUUGGAAGUCCCAUCUCAAGUCUUCAAUAAAGACUCUUGAAUAUUGAAUCACAUUAA